AAAAAAAAAAAAACCACGAAAAAAGAAAUAUGAUUGGACCAGAAGGCCAAUAACCUGAGUGGGGAAACCCAGCAAGUCCUGUCCGUGUAGAUUCUUCUUGACCUUUCUCUGCAGCAUUCCUUCCUUCUGAGUACGGGGCAGGACUCUCUCUGGGAUGGAGGGGUCUUAGGACCUGCAAGCAAACAAGACUCAGCCCACCUGCACUGAGGUGAAAUAAACAGCUUUAUUGCUCACACAAAGCCUGUUGGUGGACUCUCUUCACAUUGAUGCGCGUGACAUUUUGUGCUGUGACUUGGAUUGGGGGCCCUUCCUUGGGAGAUCAAUCCCCUGUCCUCCUGCUCUUUGCUCCAGGAGAAAGAUCCACCACGACCUUGGGUCUUCGGACCAACCAGCCCAAGGAACAUCUCACCAAUUUUAAAUCG
rnacentral:lncRNA from 1 species